AGGACGAACGCUGGCGGCGUGCUUAACACAUGCAAGUCGAGCGGAAAGGCCCUUCGGGGUACUCGAGCGGCGAACGGGUGAGUAACACGUGAGCAACCUGCCCUUAGCUCUGGGAUAGCUCCGGGAAACCGGAAUUAAUACCGGAUACGACCUAGGCCGACAUCGGCCAUGGUGGAAAGUUUUUCGGCUAGGGAUGGACUCGCGGCCUAUCAGCUAGUUGGUGGGUAAAGGCCUACCAAGGCGACGACGGGUAG
rnacentral:rRNA from 1 species